rnacentral:sRNA from 1 species
GAGGCCCGCGGAGGAGCCCGCGCCGGCCACGAAGCUCAGCUCCGCGCCGCGCGGACCCACCGAGCCCGCGCUCAGACGCUCCAGCUCCGCCGAGAGGCCGCUCGCGCCGGGUCCUUCCUCUUCCCCAAGUGCAGGCAGAGCCCCCGGAGCCAUGGCCAGCCCUUCCGGCAGCUCCGAAGCCACUGGCAAGCCCCGAGGCAGGGAUGGCCGGCCCAGGAGGGAGGAGGACGACGUCCCUCCCGAGGAGAAGAGGCUGCGCCUGGGGCUGGAGGGGGGAAGCGCACAGCCCGAGGACUGCGAGGACGGGGAGGACGCGCCGCGGCCGGGCAGGGAGGAGACCGGCACCCAGACAGGUGGCGACGGCAGAGGAGAAGGAAAAUACAUGUACGGCCAACUUCCUUGAGGGUUCGUUCUUUUGCAUCAGCGUGUCUCAAACUCCUGCCCUUAAAACACCUGCAAGAAAAUCAUCCAGGCGGCUUGCUCGCUCUGCUUGCAGACCCUUUAGAAUCAGAGUCAGAAUCCCUGGGGCUGGAGCCACAAAAUGAAAUGACAUUUCAACAAGUCUGUCAUUACAUAAGAGAGAAUAG